AAAGGGCAUACGUGGGAAGCAGGGUGUGAAUGGAGACAAAGGAGAGUCUGGAAAAGAUGGUGCUGCAGGUUUACCAGGUCCCAUUGGCAUUGGGGGGGUGCCAGGAUUUCCAGGUCAGGGAGGGGAGAAGGGCAAAGAGGGAAUUGGUAGACACGGUAUUCAAGGUCCUCGUGGAGAAC